rnacentral:rRNA from 1 species
AUGAAGCAGUCAAUAGACAACAUCUUUCCCACCACCGUGCAUCGCUGUUGUCGAUGGCACAUCAUGAAAAAGGCUCAGGAAAAAGUUGGUUGGCUUUUGUGCCGAAAUCCAGGGCUCUCUGAUGAUUUCAAAUACUGUGUUGACUUUAGCUUCACUCCAGACGAGUUUGAGCAGGAUUGGGCUGGGUUAAUGAUGAAGUACGAGGCUAUGACACACCCACACACACACACUUUGAGAAGUUGUACGAAUACAGGUCAACUUGGGUGCCGUGCUACUUCAAACACAGGUUCUUCCCCUUCCUGCAGUCUACACAAUGUAGUGAGGGGUUCAACACCGUCCUAA